rnacentral:siRNA from 1 species
CGUAAAGUGACCGUUUGA